GACGAACGCUGGCGGCGUGCUUAACACAUGCAAGUCGAACGAAAAGAGGGAAAGAGCUUGCUCUUUCCGGAAUUGAGUGGCAAACCGGUGAGUAACACGUAAACAACCUGCCUUCAGGAUGGGGACAACAGACGGAAACGACUGCUAAUACCGAAUAAGUUCCAAGGGCCGCAUGGCCCAUGGAAGAAAAGGUGGCCUCUACCUGUAAGCUAUCGCCUGAAGAGGGGUUUGCGUCUGAUUAGCUGGUUGGAGGGGUAACGGCCCACCAAGGCGACGAUCAGUAGCCGGUCUGAGAGGAUGAACGGCCACACUGGAAUUGAGACACGGUCCAGACUCCUACGGGAGGCAGCAGUGGGGAAUCUUCCGCAAUGGGCGAAAGCCUGACGGAGCAACGCCGCGUGAGUGAUGACGGCCUUCGGGUUGUAAAACUCUGUGAUCCGGGACGAAAAGGCAGAGUGCGAAGAACAAACUGCAUUGACGGUACCGGAAAAGCAAGCCACGGCUAACUACGUG
rnacentral:rRNA from 1 species